UUUUAUGAGAGUUUGAUCCUGGCUCAGGACGAACGCUGGCGGCGUGCCUAAUACAUGCAAGUCGUACGCUUCUUUUUCCACCGGAGCUUGCUCCACCGGAAAAAGAAGAGUGGCGAACGGGUGAGUAACACGUGGGUAACCUGCCCAUCAGAAGGGGAUAACACUUGGAAACAGGUGCUAAUACCGUAUAACAAUCGAAACCGCAUGGUUUUGAUUUGAAAGGCGCUUUCGGGUGUCGCUGAUGGAUGGACCCGCGGUGCAUUAGCUAGUUGGUGAGGUAACGGCUCACCAAGGCCACGAUGCAUAGCCGACCUGAGAGGGUGAUCGGCCACAUUGGGACUGAGACACGGCCCAAACUCCUACGGGAGGCAGCAGUAGGGAAUCUUCGGCAAUGGACGAAAGUCUGACCGAGCAACGCCGCGUGAGUGAAGAAGGUUUUCGGAUCGUAAAACUCUGUUGUUAGAGAAGAACAAGGAUGAGAGUAACUGUUCAUCCCUUGACGGUAUCUAACCAGAAAGCCACGGCUAACUACGUGCCAGCAGCCGCGGUAAUACGUAGGUGGCAAGCGUUGUCCGGAUUUAUUGGGCGUAAAGCGAGCGCAGGCGGUUUCUUAAGUCUGAUGUGAAAGCCCCCGGCUCAACCGGGGAGGGUCAUUGGAAACUGGGAGACUUGAGUGCAGAAGAGGAGAGUGGAAUUCCAUGUGUAGCGGUGAAAUGCGUAGAUAUAUGGAGGAACACCAGUGGCGAAGGCGGCUCUCUGGUCUGUAACUGACGCUGAGGCUCGAAAGCGUGGGGAGCAAACAGGAUUAGAUACCCUGGUAGUCCACGCCGUAAACGAUGAGUGCUAAGUGUUGGAGGGUUUCCGCCCUUCAGUGCUGCAGCUAACGCAUUAAGCACUCCGCCUGGGGAGUACGACCGCAAGGUUGAAACUCAAAGGAAUUGACGGGGGCCCGCACAAGCGGUGGAGCAUGUGGUUUAAUUCGAAGCAACGCGAAGAACCUUACCAGGUCUUGACAUCCUUUGACCACUCUAGAGAUAGAGCUUCCCCUUCGGGGGCAAAGUGACAGGUGGUGCAUGGUUGUCGUCAGCUCGUGUCGUGAGAUGUUGGGUUAAGUCCCGCAACGAGCGC
rnacentral:rRNA from 1 species